GCCGAAGUGGUGGAACUGGUAGACACGCUAUCUUGAGGGGGUAGUGGCCAACCGGCCGUGCGAGUUCGAGUCUCGCCUUCGGCACCA
rnacentral:tRNA from 1 species